CUUGGUGGCGACCGGCGCACGGUGCGUAACGCGUAUGCAACCACCUUUAACAGGGGCAUAACACUGAGAAAUUGGUACUAAUUCCCCAUAACAUUCGAGAAGGCAUCUUCUUGGGUUAAAAACUCCGGUGGUUAAAGAUGGGCAUGCGUUGUAUUAGCUAGUUGGUGAGGUAACGGCUCACCAAGGCAACGAUACAUAGGGGGACUGAGAGGUUAACCCCCACAUUGGUACUGAGACACGGACCAA
rnacentral:rRNA from 1 species